UACUUUCCUCAGAGCUAUUCUCAUCACCU
rnacentral:sRNA from 1 species